rnacentral:rRNA from 1 species
GGCUUAGAGUUUGAUCAUGGCUCAGGACGAACGCUGGCGGCGCGCCUAACACAUGCAAGUCGAACGGAAUAUUUUUCUACUUCAAGUUUUUUGCUUGUUUGAGGAAAGCGUCAAUCAGUGCGCAGCACUGAUUUAGGCCUUUUAGUAAGCUAACACAUGCAGAAAAGAACGAGCGGAAGAUUUGAAGUAGAAAAAUAUUUAGUGGCGAACGGGUGAGUAACGCGUGAGGAACCUGCCUCAAAGAAGGGGACAACAGUUGGAAACGACUGCUAAUACCGCAUAAGCCCACGGGGCCGCAUGGCCCUGAGGGAAAAGGAGCAAUCCGCUUUGAGAUGGCCUCGCGUCCGAUUAGCUGGUUGGUGAGGUAACGGCCCACCAAGGCGACGAUCGGUAGCCGGACUGAGAGGUUGAACGGCCACAUUGGGACUGAGACACGGCCCAGACUCCUACGGGAGGCAGCAGUGGGGAAUAUUGCACAAUGGGGGAAACCCUGAUGCAGCGACGCCGCGUGGAGGAAGAAGGUCUUCGGAUUGUAAACUCCUGUUGUUGGGGAAAAGAAGGAUGGUACCCAACAAGGAAGUGACGGCUAACUACGUGCCAGCAGCCGCGGUAAAACGUAGGUCACGAGCGUUGUCCGGAAUUACUGGGUGUAAAGGGAGCGCAGGCGGGUAUGCAAGUUGGGAGUGAAAUACAUGGGCUCAACCCAUGAACUGCUCUCAAAACUGUGUAUCUUGAGUAGUGCAGAGGUAGGCGGAAUUCCCGGUGUAGCGGUGGAAUGCGUAGAUAUCGGGAGGAACACCAGUGGCGAAGGCGGCCUACUGGGCACCAACUGACGCUGAGGCUCGAAAGUGUGGGUAGCAAACAGGAUUAG